CCAGCACAUGCGCUGUAGAUGCUUCAGAAGCCAACGAGAUCUUGUGGUGAUGCCGAAGCUUGGAUGACAUGGCCUUGGCUCAUCUGGUGGAUAUCUUCAUCAGUAAGGACUCCUGGAUGAUUGUGUUUCUGAUGCCCAACAAGAAACAGAGGCAACCGAGGGGGCCGCUAUAGGACUGAUUACCUGGAUUAAUUGCAGAACAGUGAAUAGGAUGUGGGGGUCCCUGGUGGGCCCCUGAUGGGGCCCUGGUGGAAGCCCUGGGAUGCUGUGUCAUGGACCAAGUGGAUAUAUCUUCAGCAACAGGGAGGUGAAGGGUACACUGAGGGUGACCAUCAGAGGACAAGGCCCACAACACAACCAAAGUGACCACAUCCACCCUCUAG
rnacentral:lncRNA from 1 species